rnacentral:rRNA from 1 species
GGUUAAGCGACUAAGCGUACACGGUGGAUGCCCUGGCAGUCAGAGGCGAUGAAGGGCGUGCUAAUCUGCGAUAAGCGCCGGUAAGGUGAUAUGAACCGUUAUAACCGGCGAUACCCGAAUGGGGAAACCCAGUGUGAUUCGUCACACUAUCAUUAACUGAAUCCAUAGGUUAAUGAGGCGAACCGGGGGAACUGAAACAUCUAAGUACCCCGAGGAAAAGAAAUCAACCGAGAUUCCCCCAGUAGCGGCGAGCGAACGGGGAGGAGCCCAGAGCCUGAAUCAGCAUGUGUGUUAGUGGAAGCGUCUGGAAAGGCGCGCGAUACAGGGUGACAGCCCCGUACACAAAAGCGCAUGUGCUGUGAGCUCGAUGAGUAGGGCGGGACACGUGGUAUCCUGUCUGAAUAUGGGGGGACCAUCCUCCAAGGCUAAAUACUCCUGACUGACCGAUAGUGAACCAGUACCGUGAGGGAAAGGCGAAAAGAACCCCGGCGAGGGGAGUGAAAAAGAACCUGAAACCGUGUACGUACAAGCAGUGGGAGCCCCACCACCAAAGCAUUCUCUGGUGUUGAAGGCCCUGCAAAGCAGCAUCGCGGUGGCGGAGCGUCGUUUGCGACGCCCAACACACAAAACAAGCGGUGAAUGCUUUGGGGUGGGGUGACUGCGUACCUUUUGUAUAAUGGGUCAGCGACUUAUAUUCUGUAGCAAGGUUAACCGAAUAGGGGAGCCGGAGGGAAACCGAGUCUUAAUUGGGCGUUAAGUUGCAGGGUAUAGACCCGAAACCCGGUGAUCUAGCCAUGGGCAGGUUGAAGGUUGGGUAACACUAACUGGAGGACCGAACCGACUAAUGUUGAAAAAUUAGCGGAUGACCUGUGGCUGGGGGUGAAAGGCCAAUCAAACCGGGAGAUAGCUGGUUCUCCCCGAAAGCUAUUUAGGUAGCGCCUCGUGAAUUCAUCUCCGGGGGUAGAGCACUGUUUCGGCUAGGGGGCCAUCCCGGCUUACCAACCCGAUGCAAACUGCGAAUACCGGAGAAUGUUAUCACGGGAGACACACGGCGGGUGCUAACGUCCGUCGUGAAGAGGGAAACAACCCAGACCGCCAGCUAAGGUCCCAAAGUCAUGGUUAAGUGGGAAACGAUGUGGGAAGGCCCAGACAGCCAGGAUGUUGGCUUAGAAGCAGCCAUCAUUUAAAGAAAGCGUAAUAGCUCACUGGUCGAGUCGGCCUGCGCGGAAGAUGUAACGGGGCUAAACCAUGCACCGAAGCUGCGGCAGCGACGCUGAUGCGUUGUUGGGUAGGGGAGCGUUCUGUAAGCCUGCGAAGGUGACCUGUGAGGGUUGCUGGAGGUAUCAGAAGUGCGAAUGCUGACAUAAGUAACGAUAAAGCGGGUGAAAAGCCCGCUCGCCGGAAGACCAAGGGUUCCUGUCCAACGUUAAUCGGGGCAGGGUGAGUCGACCCCUAAGGCGAGGCCGAAAGGCGUAGUCGAUGGGAAACGGGUUAAUAUUCCCGUACUUGGUGUUACUGCGAAGGGGGGACGGAGAAGGCUAUGUUGGCCGGGCGACGGUUGUCCCGGUUUAAGCGUGUAGGUGUGUGUUCCAGGUAAAUCCGGUUCACUUUAACACUGAGGCGUGAUGACGAGGCACUACGGUGCUGAAGCAACAAAUGCCCUGCUUCCAGGAAAAGCCUCUAAGCAUCAGGUAACAUCAAAUCGUACCCCAAACCGACACAGGUGGUCAGGUAGAGAAUACCAAGGCGCUUGAGAGAACUCGGGUGAAGGAACUAGGCAAAAUGGUGCCGUAACUUCGGGAGAAGGCACGCUGACACGUAGGUGAAGUGAUUUACUCAUGGAGCUGAAGUCAGUCGAAGAUACCAGCUGGCUGCAACUGUUUAUUAAAAACACAGCACUGUGCAAACACGAAAGUGGACGUAUACGGUGUGACGCCUGCCCGGUGCCGGAAGGUUAAUUGAUGGGGUCAGCGCAAGCGAAGCUCCUGAUCGAAGCCCCGGUAAACGGCGGCCGUAACUAUAACGGUCCUAAGGUAGCGAAAUUCCUUGUCGGGUAAGUUCCGACCUGCACGAAUGGCGUAAUGAUGGCCAGGCUGUCUCCACCCGAGACUCAGUGAAAUUGAACUCGCUGUGAAGAUGCAGUGUACCCGCGGCAAGACGGAAAGACCCCGUGAACCUUUACUAUAGCUUGACACUGAACAUUGAGCCUUGAUGUGUAGGAUAGGUGGGAGGCUUUGAAGCGUGGACGCCAGUCUGCGUGGAGCCGACCUUGAAAUACCACCCUUUAAUGUUUGAUGUUCUAACGUGGACCCGUGAUCCGGGUUGCGGACAGUGUCUGGUGGGUAGUUUGACUGGGGCGGUCUCCUCCUAAAGAGUAACGGAGGAGCACGAAGGUUGGCUAAUCCUGGUCGGACAUCAGGAGGUUAGUGCAAUGGCAUAAGCCAGCUUGACUGCGAGCGUGACGGCGCGAGCAGGUGCGAAAGCAGGUCAUAGUGAUCCGGUGGUUCUGAAUGGAAGGGCCAUCGCUCAACGGAUAAAAGGUACUCCGGGGAUAACAGGCUGAUACCGCCCAAGAGUUCAUAUCGACGGCGGUGUUUGGCACCUCGAUGUCGGCUCAUCACAUCCUGGGGCUGAAGUAGGUCCCAAGGGUAUGGCUGUUCGCCAUUUAAAGUGGUACGCGAGCUGGGUUUAGAACGUCGUGAGACAGUUCGGUCCCUAUCUGCCGUGGGCGCUGGAGAACUGAGGGGGGCUGCUCCUAGUACGAGAGGACCGGAGUGGACGCAUCACUGGUGUUCGGGUUGUCAUGCCAAUGGCACUGCCCGGUAGCUAAAUGCGGAAGAGAUAAGUGCUGAAAGCAUCUAAGCACGAAACUUGCCCCGAGAUGAGUUCUCCCUGAGACUUAAAGUCUCCUGAAGGAACGUUGAAGACGACGACGUUGAUAGGCCGGGUGUGUAAGCGCAGCGAUGCGUUGAGCUAACCGGUACUAAUGAACCGUGAGGCUUAACCUU